rnacentral:rRNA from 1 species
UACGUAGGGUGCGAGCGUUGUCCGGAAUUAUUGGGCGUAAAGAGCUUGUAGGCGGUUCGUCACGUCGGGAGUGAAAACUCGGGGCUCAACUCCGAGCCUGCGUUCGAUACUGGAUGGCUAGAGUCUGGUAGGGGGAUCUGGAAUUCCUGGUGUAGCGGUGGAAUGCGCAGAUAUCAGGAGGAACACCAAUGGCGAAGGCAGCUCGCUGGAACGGAACUGACGCUGAGGCGCGAAAGCGUGGGGAGCGAACAGG